GCUAAUUAUUCCCUGCUGCCUGGCAAAGCCCUUCUGAGUUCUCUACCAGUUCCCAUGAAUUUGGGGUUUUCCUGUCUGCCUAGGGGACAGGUUACUCCCAUCCAGAUGUGAGCCCAACUCCCACUCAUUCCCUGUAAUUCUUUCCCACUCUUAGUCCGGUGGAGUUUGCACAGGCACGUACCGAUCUCCGGGCCACAAGUUCUCCAGGGCCUCACUGCCACACUUUCCUCUAGCUGCUCCAUCUUCACAGGCUAGAAACUUCUCUCACCUCACCCUUCCAACACCCAAUUCCAGCUUCCCAGAGGGGGAAAAAAACCCUUCAAAUAUGCCUGGGCUUCCUGAGUCUGUGUUUGGAUUCUUCCAGCAGCUCUGGAAAGUUAUCAGAUAAGUAUCUCUUCAAAUAUCAACCUCUCAGGCAGGAAUGGUGUCAUGCACCUGUCACCCUACCACUGGGGAGGCUGAGGCAGGAAAAGCACUUGGACCUGGGAGUUUGAAGCCAGCCUGGACAACACAGAAAGAUUCCUUUCUAAAAAAUUAUUCUCCCCAUUCUCAUUUUGUCCAAUUCUCUCUGUUUUAUACGUGUAUUUUACUCUCCUUUUAUUAUCUUAUUAUCUUUUUUUUUUUUUUUUGCACCAGGGAUCAAACUCAGGACCUUGCGCUUGUGAGGCAGGCACCAGAACCACUGAGCUAAAUCCCCGCCUUAUUAUCUUUUUUUAACUUCUAUUCUGGACAAUUUAUUCUUAUCUAUCUUCUAAUUUCUGAACAUUUUGUGUUUGUUUGUUUUGUUUUGUUUUUCUUUUUGUUUGCAGUAAUGGGAUUGAAUUUAGGGCCUUUGCACUGGGCUCCAUCCUCUCUCACGCCUUUAUUUUUUGAGACAGGGUCUCCCUAAAUUGCUCAGGCUGGGCUGAAACUUGUGAUCCUCCUGCCUCAGCCUUCCAGGGUGCUGGGAUAACAGGUGUGUGUGUGUGUGUGUGUGCGCGCGCCACAUUAAAAUCUAUAUGUUGAGUUUUAAAUGGUGGUUACUAUGUUUUCAUUUUGGAAAUUUCAUUCUGUCUUUUUGAAAUCUACUACAUAAUGUCAUAAACUCUAUCUGGCUCCCUGCAAAUAUUAAACUUGCCUCCUUAGGUUUUUUUUUUUUUAAAUAAUGUGUAACUUUAUUAUCAUUCACUAAACACACACAUAUACAAAACUUAAAAUUAUUCAAAGAACAGCAAUGCAAGGG
rnacentral:lncRNA from 1 species